rnacentral:rRNA from 1 species
AUUGAACGCUGGCGGCGGGCCUAACACAUGCAAGUCGAGCGAGCGGCGGACGGGUGAGUGGGGUAUUGGGAUCUGCCUGAUGGAGGGGGAUAACUGCUGGAAACGGUAGCUAAUGCCGCAUACCAUCAGAUGAGCCCAUAUGGGAUUAGCUUGUUGGUGAGGUAACGGCUCACCAAGGCGACGAUCCCUAGCAGGUCUGAGAGGAUGAUCAGCCACACUGGGACUGAGACACGGCCCAGACUCCUACGGGAGGCAGCAGUGGGGAAUAUUCGACAAUGGGCGAAAGUCUGAUCGAGCCACGCCGCGUGUAUGAAGAAGGUUUUCGGGUUGUAAAGUACUUUCAGUAGGGAGGCGGUACCGACCGAAGAAGCACCGGCUAACUCCGUGCCAGCAGCCGCGGUAAUAC